GGACACAGGGAGCUGAACCCUCCCCUCCUGAGUCGACCCAAGGAGAGGGAGGUGUUAUUCUGACCCCUGUGCCCCGGAUUCUUUUCCUCCUCAGAGGCCCAGCUCAGCCACAUGGGGGGCCUUCCCUGACCUCCAAGCUAGAAGGACCAUGGCAGCCCUCUCUGGCCCUGCCCUCAGAGCAUGUCUGCCCCUCCCCACCCAGCUCCAGAGGGCAGGGAUCGGUCGAUCCUGUAGUUCUUGCACUGAAAACAGUCCGAGUGCAGGGUGAGCACGCCAGCGUUUGGUCCAUGACGCAUCAGUCCCCGAUUUAUCAAUGAAGAAGUUGCAGCUCAGGGAAGCCGAGAAACUUGUCUACAGGCAAGGGGCUCAGAAGUGACCGGAGUCUGACUGCAGGGGCGCAGUCAGCCAUCUGCCUCCCCCUCAGCUCUCUCUGCCCAGCCUUGCUUCUCCGCGGCUCCCCUGGUGGGACGCUUCCCUGCAGACGGCAGGAGGGCGGGCCUCCUGUCUGUGCUUGGCACUGGGUAGCCGCAAAUGCAGGCCUUACCCUGCCAGCUCCCUGUGAUUCAUUCCUCACUGGGAGCCCAGCCCCUGUUCAGGCCAGGUGCAGGGAGAGCAGGAGAGGGCAGAAGGCCGUGGGUGAGUCGGAGCCCUGCCCUUGGGCAAGCCGUCCCUGAUCUCCAGCCCAGUGGGGUGGACGAAGGAAGGCCUGCCCUGCCUCCCUCCCACGGCUGCUGCUCUGAGGUUCUGCAAGUGUGGCAGCUCAUAAAGGCUGGAGCCAAAGUGGGAACCCAGAGAGGACGCGGACCCCACCUAUGCGGGGGGAAACCAGAGCAUCCACCCAGAGCACCGAGGAAGCCCUGCGGAAGGAGCUCAAGUGUGGCUGCUCCCUGAGGCAGUGCCUUCAGAGAGGUGACUAAGUGCCCUAGAAGACCUUGAAGGCAGAGGAAGAAUUUUUCCCUUCUUACAUCAGAAACCAAAGUGAUGAAUUGCCUCUUCUGGACGUUUCCCAUGGAUGGAAUCACGCAACGUGGGGGCUUUUGUGACUGUUCCCUUCCCCUUGCGUCAGGCUUUCAAGAAUCAUCCCUGUGGGAGUGCGCGUGGGGGCCCCUCCUUGGCACGGGCGAAUGGCACCUGCUGCCGUCAGCCGGACCACGCGGGAUGCCAGCCGUCAGCAGGUGCUGGACACUGGGGUGUUGGCACUCUCUGGCUGCCGCGAACCUCCGUGUGCAAGGUUUUGUGGGGACCCGCUGCCAGUGCCGUCGGGUACGUGCCCAGGAGUGCCGUUCCUGGGUUACAGACUAACUCUCCGAACGGUUUGGGGAGCCUCCCCGCUGUUCUCCCCAGCGGCGGUCCCACUUAGAGGUCCCCACCCCGAGCAGGGCUGGGGGGGUCCCCAUCUCUGCACGUCCUGGCCGGCGCCUGUCCUCGCCUGUCUUUCGGAGUACGGCCCCCCUGGUGCGCGCGAGGGUCUGUCUCCGCGAGGCUCAGCCCGGCUUUAUCCGUAGUCAAGCUGACGGGCUGGUCGGGUUUGGCUUCCUGGGUCUCGUCUCUCACUUGGUUCUGAAUGUGGGAAGAGUGUUCCUUACUAGCCUCCCGAAUCCCAACCACUGCCUCUGUGUCUCCUCUGCCUAGAACCAGCCCUAAUCAUCCCUGGCGCCCACUGUCCCAGUCCAGGCUUCUGCUUCUGCCCCUGGAGACCCGUGUCCGUCCCUUCCCUUUCCCGCUCGUGAGCGAGUUCCUCAAGGGCAGACACCCCAACAAAGGGCAUAUCCAGAGGGGCCGGCUGGGUGAAUCACUGGGCUUUCCGGUGCUUGAUCGAUUAGUGAUGUCUGCCACGGACAGGGGAGGGUGCACACAGGCAGGAGCUGAGCUGGGACAGCUCUCCAGAAAGCUCCCGGUCCGGAGUCU